GAUAGCUCAAUUGGUCAGAGCAUGGUGGUGAUAACACCAAGGUUGCAGGUUCAGUCCCUGUAUGGGACA
rnacentral:tRNA from 1 species